rnacentral:rRNA from 1 species
GCGGAAUGCUUUACACAUGCAAGUCGAACGGCAGCACGGGUGCUUGCACCUGGUGGCGAGUGGCGAACGGGUGAGUAAUAUAUCGGAACGUAUCCAAUAAUGGGGGAUAACUAACCGAAAGGUUGGCUAAUACCGCAUACGCCCUACGGGGGAAAGCAGGGGAUCUUCGGACCUUGCGUUGAUGGAGCGGCCGAUAUCUGAUUAGCUAGUUGGUGGGGUAAAGGCCCACCAAGGCGACGAUCAGUAGCUGGUCUGAGAGGACGACCAGCCACACUGGAACUGAGACACGGUCCAGACUCCUACGGGAGGCAGCAGUGGGGAAUUUUGGACAAUGGGGGCAACCCUGAUCCAGCCAUUCCGCGUGAGUGAAGAAGCCUUCGGGUUGUAAAGCUCUUUCGCAAGGGAAGAAAACUUAGUCUCUAACAUAGGCUGAGGCUGACGGUACCUUGAUAAGAAGCACCGGCUAACUACGUGCCA